GCUCAUAGUGUCCGGGUGGGCGGUGUUUUCCUUUCCGGUCAGUGCUGAAGCCGAUCGUCUGCGGGAUCGGGUAGGGUAUCCUCGCCUCCUGAGUUGGGAUCACUUCGACGGGCCGAAGGUAUCACUUUCCUAUUGUUAGACCUGCGGUGAGAGAUUUAUUGGGAGAAAACCCCCAACUGGAAGCAAACCACGACUGAAGACGAGGGAACAGCAACAAGUGAACCAGCCCAAGGACUGAGAGCAUCAACUGGAGAGGACCCAUCUGACUCGGAGAAACCAGUGAUUCGGUCAGGGGAAAGUUUGGUUAAAAAUGACAAGGAACUUGUCUACGGGAAUCUCGAACACAACACGCCGGUUUUGCUGUCUCUGUCCAGAUAUUUAAGAAGUGGAGCAAGGGAUUCACUCGAUCAUCUGAGCGACUGGCACGCUCGUCAUUUUACACAGGGGUGAACCCAUUCACCUGCUCAGACAGUGGGAAUGGAUUCAGUCAGUAAUCUCAACUGAAGGAACCGCUCUGUUUCUGGGAAGAGGUCUCCAACUCUCAGUCAGAUGUUCGAUGCUUCCUUGUCACCGUCUCGUCUGCUCAGAUCGUUGGGAUGUCUCCCAUGGAGGGUAUACUCAUUCCACUGGUUAAUGUUUUCUUCCAUAGUGAUUUUUCAUUUUCCUGAGUUGGCAUCUCAUUUAAGUUUUCUGGUCUAUAUUUCUUAUCACGAUUGCAUACACACACAUGGAGUUCUGAAUCCUGUUCAAUUUUGUUGAAAGUAUAUACUUAGAAGUUUUAUCUGACCUUUGUGUGAUAUUUUUUUCAUGUGUGUUACUUCUCUAGCUCCUGUCCAAGGUAGUGUUAAUCUAAGUGUGUUUGAGCGUAAAUAUCAUUUCAGUUCUUAUUUAUCUUUAAAUUUUACUGAUUGAAAUGGGACCAAGAUAUUUUUAUUUUUUAAAAAAAUCAAUGUUGGUAUUGAUAAAAGUGUUUAUUGUCUUUGUUGUAUUUGUUAACUUUGAGCUCUGUUUGGCAGGUUUUUAAACGCCUUGAACUAAAUUUUGUCAAAGGUUUUCCCUAUUUCACACUACUUUCUAUUUUCUUUGCUUGUUGAUAUUCCAGAUAUGAGGGUAUCAAGAGUCCCGAUGAAGGGUCUCGGCCUGAAAUGUUGAUUCCCAUCCAUAGAUGCUGCCUGACAUGCUGAACUCCUCCAGCAGUUUGUGUGUAGUUCUCUAGAUUUCUAGCAUCUGCAGGUCCUCUUGUUUCCCAGAUACUUGUAUGUUUCUUGAAAGAACAAGCUGGUAGUGGGGUUGUGUGGAUCUGUUGGUAAAAUAUUAAAUAAAAUCAUUAGAAAGAGAUGGCAUAGGGUUGGAAGGUGUAGAAUCUGUUGGUAGAAUUAAGGAACAGCAAAUGUCAAAAAAAAAUCCCUGAUGGGAAUUGCAUAGAGACCUCCAAACAGUAGUAAGUAUGUGGUCCACAAAUUACAAUGGAAAAUAGAAAAUGCGUGCCAAAAGGGCACACAAUAGUCAUGGGGGAUUGUCAUGCAGGUGAUUAGGAAAAUUAGGACGGUGUUGGUCUCAAGUGGAGGAAUUCCUAGAAUUCCUACAAGAUGCUUUUUUAGAGCAGCUCGUGGUUGAGCCCAUUUGGGGAUCAACUAUUCUGGAUUGGGUGUUGUAAUGAACCAGAAUUAAUUGGGUCACUUAAAUUCAAAGAACCCUUACGGGCAAGUGAUCUUAAUGUGAUCAAAUUCACCCUGACAUUGGAGAAGGAGAAGCUAAAGUCAGAUGUGGAAUAAAGAGAAUUAGAGAGGCAUGAGAGGAAAAUUGGUCAAAAUUGAUUUGAAAAGAACAUGGGCAGGAUGAAAACAGAGCAGCAAUGGCAGGAAUUUCUGGAAGCAAUUCAGAAGGCUCAGGAUAUAUACAGUGGCAUGCAAAUGUUUGGGCACCCCUGGUUAAAAUUUCUGUUACUGUGAAUAGCUAAGUGAGUAAAAGAUGACCUGAUUUCCAAAAGGCAUAUAGAUAAAGAUAACAGAUUUCUUUAAUAUUUUAAGCAAGAUUACACUUUUAUUUCCAUCUUUCACAGUUUCAAAAUAGCAAAAAAGGAAAAGGUCCCAAAGUAAAAGUUUGGGCACCCUGCAUGGUCAGUACUUAGUAACACCCCCUUUGGCAAGUAUCAACACUUGUAUACGCUUUUUGUAGCCAGCUGAGAGUUCCAAUUCUUGUUUGGUAAAUUUCUGGGUUCAGUGUUUAGUAGCAAAGCACUGACUGUGGAAAUUACAAAUCAGAAUAUUAUUACAGUCACAGAGCCCAGCAGCACUGAAACAGGCCCUUUGGCCCUCCUAGUCAAUGCUGACCUGCUUUUGUUUUUACUGCCUAUUUCCAACUACCUGCACCAUAGCCUUCAUUAAAUUUCACCACAUAUAACCGUGAGAUUCUUUUUUCUACAGGAACACUUAGCAAAUCUAUAGAAUAGCAAUGGAAUCAAUGAAAGAUCAAGUAGAGCAUAUAAUUCAACAAACUGUGCAAAUGCAAAUAUAAUUAAAUGUCACGAGAUAACAAGAGCAAUGGUUGUAACCCUGGGGAACCCAACUGGGCCGGGCCUUGAGUCCAAUAAACAGCCUCCCACCAUCACUCUCUGCUUCCUACCAUCAAAACAAAUGUGCAUCCAGUUAGCCAGCUCUCCCUGGAUCCCAUGUGAUCUAACUUCCCACAGUAACUUACCAUGCUGAACCUUGUCAAAGGCCUCACUGAUGCCCAUGUCGGCCACGAUCCUGGGACAGAGGUGUCACAGAUCAGAGGGCAUAGAUUUAAAGAGGACGAAGAGGAUUAGAGGGAUCUGAGGAAGAGAUUUUUCUCUCGGGGGUAGCUGAAAUCUGGAACACACUGUCCGAGGUGGUGGUGGAGGCAGGUCCCCUCACAACAUUUACGAAGUGGGUGAGCACUGAAACUGCCGAGAUACAGUCGGCUAUGAACCGAGUGCUGAUAAAUGGGACCAGUGUAGACAGUGAGUGGAUGGUCAGAACAGGUAUGGCCGGCAAAAGGCCUGUUUCCGUGCUGUGUGAUCCACCACUCCGGAUAUGACAAAUUAACGAUGGUGACACUGUAAGGCAUUGAUUUCAAAACCCCUCACCCCUCUCCAACCUGAAGUAAACCAGACUGAACCCCUUUGUCACCACUGCGAAUAUCUGUUUCUAUCAAGGUAACAUACAAAUUGGUCACUUCUGCUAAACAACUGGCAAUUGAUUAAGUUCCUGUGUCGUCUUCCAUUAAUGUUGCUUCCUUACAGCAAAAUUAACCCUCUCACUGUGUCAGAAUCAGUGAUAAAAUCCGACCCCAAACACCAUACUUUCAUCGCUGCACAUCGUAACUUGAACCAUCUCACUGAGGGUCUGAUGGAGACACAAACCCUGCCCUCUGCACAUGUGAUCACAUCUACCCUGCUUCUGACAUUUCAAAUACCCUCAGAAUGGUUUUCUGAUUCAGUCUGAAGGUUAUGGUACAUUCAGCUCAUCUUCAGACCUGACAAACCAUGUCUUCCCACAGCUGGUUCCACCUGUUGGUGUGUCCUCUUUCCUCCACCUCCAGGGAAGCUGCAUCUCCACACAAACCCCUCACUUGAGACGACUGUCUGUACCCGUGACGCAGGAAAUCACAUCACUGUCACUCUCCUGAUACCAUCCGGGAAGCGGUACCGCAACAUUAAAGCCAGAACCAACAGGCUCCGGGACAGCUUCUUCCACCAGGCCGUCAGACUGAUCAACUCACGUGGCUUUGAGUGUGCUCUAUAUUACAUUGUCUGUUUUAUUUAUUAUAAACUAUUAUAAAUUACUAUGAUUGCACGUUGCACAUUGAGAUGGAGACGCAAGGUAAAGAUUUUUACUCCUGAUGGAUGUCAGAAAUAAAGUCAAUUCAAUUCAAUUCCUGAUUCCGUGUCUGAGCUGCUCGCCUCCGGGUAUCCUCCGUCAACAAGCUUCUUCCUCAGUCACCAUCUGUCAGAUUAUAAAAAACAAUUAAAACGAUCUAUCAGACAGCUCCUGUACCCCUCCACCCCUGAACAGGUUCCCCUGUUAAAACUCUCUGCUCAGCCCCUUCCCUAUUCCCUUUCCCUUUCAGACUCCCGAUGUGCCAGCAGAUCCGAAUUCACCGUGUGGACAUUUCUACCCCACAGGAGGCUGUACAAACCCGUGUCCUUCUCUGAUGCACAGCUCAGUGACCCCAAUCCCUGUCUGCACUCGCAGCCCAUGACGGUGACAGCUGUCCUAGACUCUGUAACUCACAAUCUUGUAACACAGAAUCUUGUUCACAGCAAGUUUAGACAGUCAUUAAUAUGAAGAGAGAAUUGUUGUUUCCUGAAAGGACAGGCGAGCGAAGCUGUCUGAUCCAAUUCACCAGAUGGUCCGGUGUUUACAAGUUAAUUUGUGCCGGGACCCACACCCACACCCACUCAUAACCCCGACCCACACAGACAGACAGACUGUCCCUUCGCCCCAAACCCCCUGCACAACCACAAGGAAUUGAUCCACGGCCCGGGCUCGGUCGCAAAGUGAAAACCGGGGCUGAGGAGAGCCCGGAGACAAACACCCCGCUGCCCACUCCACCAACAACACGGCACAGCCGGACACAUCUCACAACACCGGAUCCGGUCCCGA